rnacentral:rRNA from 1 species
CCUACGGGAGGCAGCAGUGGGGAAUUUUGCGCAAUGGGGGAAACCCUGACGCAGCAACGCCGCGUGCGGGACGAAGGCCCUCGGGUCGUAAACCGCUUUCAGCAGGGAAGACCACGACGGUACCUGCAGAAGAAGCUCCGGCUAACUACGUGCCAGCAGCCGCGGUAAUACGUAGGGGGCGAGCGUUAUCCGGAUUCAUUGGGCGUAAAGCGCGCGUAGGCGGCCGCCUAAGCGGAACCUCUAACCCCGGGGCUCAACCUCGGGCCGGGUUCCGGACUGGGCGGCUCGAGUGCGGUAGAGGAGAG